GUCUAUGGCCAUACCACCCUGAACGUGCCCGAUCUCGUCUGCUCUCGGAAGCUAAGCAGGGUCGGGCCUGGUUAGUACUUGGAUGGGAGGCAGAAUGUAGCUGCUUAUU
rnacentral:rRNA from 1 species